AUGGAGUUUGGGCUGAGCUGGGUUUUCCUCGUUGCUCUUUUAAGAGGUGUCCAGUGUCAGGUGCAGCUGGUGGAGUCUGGGGGAGGCGUGGUCCAGCCUGGGAGGUCCCUGAGACUCUCCUGUGCAGCCUCUGGAUUCACCUUCAGUAGCUAUGGCAUGCACUGGGUCCGCCAGGCUCCAGGCAAGGGGCUGGAGUGGGUGGCAGUUAUAUCAUAUGAUGGAAGUAAUAAAUACUAUGCAGACUCCGUGAAGGGCCGAUUCACCAUCUCCAGAGACAAUUCCAAGAACACGCUGUAUCUGCAAAUGAACAGCCUGAGAGCUGAGGACACGGCUGUGUAUUACUGUGCGAAAGA